rnacentral:rRNA from 1 species
ACGUAGGGUGCAAGCGUUACUCGGAAUUACUGGGCGUAAAGCGUGCGUAGGUGGUUUGUUAAGUCUGAUGUGAAAGCCCUGGGCUCAACCUGGGAACUGCAUUGGAAACUGGCUUACUAGAGUGCGGUAGAGGGGUGUGGAAUUCCCGGUGUAGCAGUGAAAUGCGUAGAUAUCGGGAGGAACAUCUGUGGCGAAGGCGACACCCUGGACCAGCACUGACACUGAGGCACGAAAGCGUGGGGAGCAAACA